CUACGGGGGGCUCCAGUGGGGAAUCUUAGACAAUGGGGGAAACCCUGAUCUAGCCAUGCCGCGUGAUCGAUGAAGGCCUUAGGGUUGUAAAGAUCUUUCAGUUGGGAAGAUAAUGACGGUACCAACAGAAGAAGCCCCGGCUAACUCCGUGCCAGCAGCCGCGGUAAUACGGAGGGGGCUAGCGUUAUUCGGAAUUACUGGGCAUAAGGCGCACGUAGGCGGAUUAGAAAGUCAGAGGUGAAAUCCCAGGGCUCAACCUUGGAACUGCCUUUGAAACUCCUAGUCUUGAGGUCGAGAGAGGUGAGUGGAAUUCCGAGUGUAGAGGUGAAAUUCGUAGAUAUUCGGAGGAACACCAGUGGCGAAGGCGGCUCACUGGCUCGAUACUGACGCUGAGGUGCGAAAGCGUGGGGAGCAAACAGGAUUAGAUACCCCGGUAGUC
rnacentral:rRNA from 1 species